AUUGAACGCUAGCGGCAGGCCUAACACAUGCAAGUCGAACGAGUGGCGGACGGGAGAGUAAUGUAUGGGCAACUGCCCGAUGGAGGGGGAUAACUACUGGAAACGGUAGCUACUACCGCCUACCAUCGGAUGUGCCCAGAUGGGAUUAGCUAGUUGGUGGGGUAACGGCUCACCAAGGCGACGAUCCCUAGCUGGUCUGAGAGGAUGACCAGCCACACUGGGACUGAGACACGGUCCAGACUCCUACGGGAGGCAGCAGUGGGGAAUAUUGCACAAUGGGCGCAAGCCUGAUGCAGCCAUGCCGCGUGUAUGAAGAAGGCCUUCGGGUUGUAAAGUACUUUCAGCAGGGAGGCGUUACCAGCAGAAUAAGCACCGGCUAACUUCGUGCCAGCAGCCGCGGUAAUUC
rnacentral:rRNA from 1 species